GGAGGUCCUGCUCAGCUGACCAGGUUCCAAAACCACAGAGUUGUGUGAAACUGUGUUCACUUCACGUACCUGCGUAUUUCUGUGGAAGAGAGAAACAGGCAUAGCAGCUCCAGUUUUCAUCUAACUUUGGAGAUACCAGAAACGUUUGGACUAAAACGAUAAUUAGAGGGAAUAGGCUCCAUGAUUGGUAAUGUAUCACAGAACUCAUCCAAGGCACCUCACUGGAAUCUAUGCAGAAUGAACUAACACUGCUACAAUAGAGGUCUACCACAAUGACUCUGGUCUGAAAGGUGAUGACAGGCUGUUUGUGGAUUCCUGCCUGCUGCCGCUGAACUCCUCACCUGCCCAACACAAGGACAUUCCCUUAAGACUCUUUCCAGCACAGUCUGGAAAGCCUGAUCAUCAUUUAG
rnacentral:lncRNA from 1 species